rnacentral:rRNA from 1 species
ACGAACGCUGGCGGCGUGCCUAAUACAUGCAAGUAGAACGCUGAAGAGAGGAGCUUGCUCUUCUUGGAUGAGUUGCGAACGGGUGAGUAACGCGUAGGUAACCUGCCUUGUAGCGGGGGAUAACUAUUGGAAACGAUAGCUAAUACCGCAUAACAAUGGAUGACACAUGUCAUUUAUUUGAAAGGGGCAAUUGCUCCACUACAAGAUGGACCUGCGUUGUAUUAGCUAGUAGGUGAGGUAACGGCUCACCUAGGCGACGAUACAUAGCCGACCUGAGAGGGUGAUCGGCCCCACUGGGACUGAGACACGGCCCAGACUCCUACGGGAGGCCGCAGUAGGGAAUCUUCGGCAAUGGGGGCAACCCUGACCGAGCAACGCCGCGUGAGUGAAGAAGGUUUUCGGAUCGUAAAGCUCUGUUGUAAGUCAAGAACGAGUGUGAGAGUGGAAAGUUCACACUGUGACGGUAGCUUACCAGAAAGGGACGGCUAACUACGUG